ensembl:lncRNA
ACCUCAGAAGCUCAUCCCUCACAGCGAUCAGAGCUGACACCACGCUACCCACCGGACUACGUUGAGUGAAGGCAUCAGACCUUCUCCUUCUGUGUUCCCCUUCCGGCGGACGUCGCAGUUGUCAUCCUGAAGAAAAUAAGUUAUGAGAAGAGGCAGCAGGACGGGGGCCCCUGUGAACGCCCCCAGCGAGACCCCAGCCAACGCACGGGCAAAUCUAAUCCAUCCUGCGUCUCUCUGACAGAAUACGGUUCACCGUCUGUCACGUCAAACCCGCCGUCCACUCGUGCUUCUGCCUGAUGGCUCCUAAAGUGAUGUCGGCGUCUCCCUUUGUUUGGUCUCGGGCCGACGUGAGGAGAGAGACUGCGUGAGAGAGGGGGGGACGGACUGCGUG